rnacentral:rRNA from 1 species
GUUUGAGAUUUGAGAGGGGCUGCUCCUAGUACGAGAGGACCGGAGUGGACGAACCUCUGGUGUUCCGGUUGUCACGCCAGUGGCAUUGCCGGGUAGCUAUGUUCGGAAAAGAUAACCGCUGAAAGCAUCUAAGCGGGAAACUUGCCUCAAGAUGAGAUCUCACUGGGAACUUGAUUCCCCUGAAGGGCCGUCGAAGACUACGACGUUGAUAGGCUGGGUGUGUAAGCGUUGUGAGGCGUUGAGCUAACCAGUACUAAUUGCCCGUGAGGCUUGACCAYAUAACACCCAAACA